UACUCGCAAUUAGGGAUAUGCAAGCUAGGGCAAAACCACAGGCAAGUCCAGAGAAUAAAGUUCUCAUUGUCCUAUUCAAUUCCAUUUCACUGGUGAGAAGUGAUGUCAGGUGGCCCUUCCCCGUGCUUAUUAAUUAUGCUGAGAAGUCUUUUGAACACAAAGUUUUUGUGGAAUGAGGAACUUAUAAACUAGUGAUGCGAGAAGCUGCAAAGUAGACCUGGGCUCUCUCCCCAGCUGGCAUCUCAGGAUUCUGCCCUUUUCAGGGAGAAACAUUUAGACAAAGAGGAAUGGCUGCUUCAGCCCUGACAGAGCAUCAAGGUAAUACAUGUAAAGCACCCAGAACAGUAAGUGUUGUUACGAUCAUCAUUACCAGGGACCAUUUGGAGGAGUGGAUGUUGGAGACAUUGCAACAGAAUCUCUCACGCCUUUAAGAACCAGUAAUGCUCAUAUAAAGGUAUGACUGGACACACUGCUCUGUUUUGAUGUUUUACGGAGGGAAUGGAUAAGUUUAGGCUUCUUUUUUGUUGUUGGUUGGUUGGUUUGUUUUGUUCCCUUCUUUUGUCCUCAGCUCUGCAUCCACAGGACUCUGCUCUUCAAGAGAGGGGCUCCGCGAAGGGGAGGAUGACCACUGGGCUUCUAGAAGCACAUCACUGUGAUCAGGAACAUUCCAAGAUGUGGCCAUCGACUUCUCCCAAGAAGAAUGGGGAUUCCUGAACCCUGCUCAGAGAAGACGGUCCACAGCUGUGAUGUCGGAAAAUUAUCAGAACCUGGCCCGGCUAGAGAGUGAGGCAAUAUGGGAGAGCAAGGAAUUAUCUCUAAGGAAGAGUAUAAAAGAGGAAACAUUCCAACAUGAAACAGUGAUGAAAAGAGCAAGCAACAUAUGUAAAGAAUAUGCAAAAACUUCCUGCAGCAAUAAUGCACCUUUUCAUCCAUCAGAAAAUUCUUGAGGAGUGCUGCCGGUGCCAUGAGUGUGGGAAAUCCUUUAGCCGUCGAUCAACUCUUGUUCAACGUCAGAGAAUCCACACAGGAGAGAGACCCUAUAAAUGUGAUGAAUGUUGUAAAACUUUCAAUCAGAGGGCACAU